rnacentral:rRNA from 1 species
GGCCUUUGCUAGUUUUCUAGCGAAUGGUUCAUUCUUUUUUACUGUGAACUGUUUUAAUUUUUCAGCGUCUGAGGAAUGUCUUUUAGCCAUAGGGAUAGGCUACUAGAAUGUUAACCGAGCUGAAAGUCAGGCUUAGGCCUGGUAUCCUAUUAAUUAUUUACCAAAAGAAUUCAGUAUUAUAAUUGUAACAUAAGCGUAAAAAACUUAUAAAACAACUUUUAACAACGGAUCUCUUGGUUCUCGCAUCGAUGAAGAACGUAGCAAAGUGCGAUAACUAGUGUGAAUUGCAUAUUCAGUGAAUCAUCGAGUCUUUGAACGCAACUUGCGCUCAAUGGUAUUCCAUUGAGCACGCCUGUUUCAGUAUCAAAAACACCCCACAUUCAUAAUUUUGUUGUGAAUGGAAUUGAGAGUUUCGGCUUUAUUGCUGAAUUCUUUAAAAUUAUUAGGCCUGAACUAUUGUUCUUUCUGCCUGAACAUUUUUUUAAUAUAAAGGAAUGCUCUAGUAAAAAGACUAUCUCUGGGGCCUCCCAAAUAAAUCAUUCUUAAAUUUGAUCUGAAAUCAGGCGGGAUUACCCGCUGAACUUAAGCAUAUCAAUA